UGGGGAAUUUUGGACAAUGGGCGAAAGCCUGAUCCAGCAAUGCCGCGUGUGUGAAGAAGGCCUUCGGGUUGUAAAGCACUUUUGUCCGGAAAGAAAUCCUUGGCUCUAAUACAGUCGGGGGAUGACGGUACCGGAAGAAUAAGCACCGGCUAACUACGUGCCAGCAGCCGCGGUAAUACGUAGGGUGCAAGCGUUAAUCGGAAUUACUGGGCGUAAAGCGUGCGCAGGCGGUCCGCUAAGACAGAUGUGAAAUCCCCGGGCUUAACCUGGGAACUGCAUUUGUGACUGGCGGGCUAGAGUAUGGCAGAGGGGGGUUAGAAUUCCACGUNUAGCAGUGAAAUGCGUAGAGAUGUGGAGGAAUACCGAUGGCGAAGGCAGCCCCCCUUGGGCCCAAUACUGACGCUCAUGCACGAAAGCGUGGGGGAGCAAACAGGAUUAGAUACCCUGUAGUCCACGCCCU
rnacentral:rRNA from 1 species